rnacentral:rRNA from 1 species
CCAAUAGCGUAUAUUAAAGUUGCUGCAGUUAAAAAGCUCGUAGUUGAAUUUCGGGAUCAAUAUGUUGGUCGUGCCUUGGUACGUACUAGCUUAUUGAUUUCUUCCUUCUGACGAACCAUGAUGUCAUUAAUUUGGUGUCAUGAGGAAUCAGGACUGUUACUUUGAAAAAAUUAGAGUGUUUAAAGCAGGCUCACGCUUGAAUACAUUAGCAUGGAAUAAUGAAAUAGGACGUUUGAUUCUAUUUUGUUGGUUUCUAGGAUCGACGUAAUGAUUAAUAGGGAAAGUUGGGGGCAUUAGUAUUCAAUUGGCAGAGGUGAAAUUCUUGGAUUUAUUGAAGACUAACUACUGCGAAAGCAUUUGCCAAGGAUGUUUUCAUUAAUCAAGAACGAAAGUUAGGGGAUCGAAGACGAUCAGAUACCGUCGUAGUCUUAACCAUAAACUAUGCCGACUAGGGAUCGGAUGAUGUUAAUUUUUUAAUGACUCAUUCGGCGCCUUACG